GUGACGGGAGGACAGGACAUUUUUUGUCCUCCCCUCUCGCAGAGCUGAAGGAACAUAAGCCCGUGUUAUGUUCUCCGAGGAUACAUGCCCAGCACUGUGACUCCAGACGACGCAGUUUCAAGGUGUAGCCCCUAUUGUGUACUGAAAUUAUACUUGACGAAAAAAGGAGGGGAGGGGAAGAAUGGUUUUAGAAGAAAAGCUUCCAUUUUCCAGUUUUUUUUUCUUCUUCUAUUUUUUUUUAAUAUAUAUCAAUUCCAACCUUUUUGGGGCUGUGCGUAAAAGGGAAAUCAAAGACGUUUUUUUAAUCUUUUAUUUUAUUUUCGUUUCUUUUUCUUUCUUUCUUUUUUAGUUUUGUGGCUCUAAAUUGUGCGUCCAGCCGUGAUGGGUGUGUGGGUAGUGCAGUGGGAGGUCAAAGGAGCUGCGUUAAUGGAGUAAAGUGGAGGCCGGUAUAGGCUUCAGCCCCAGUGCAGUGGAGUCCAGCUGAGGGUGAGCAUCGCCUGAGUCCCAUCUGUCAGCCAGACCGCUUUUAAUUAUUCUGUGUGGACUGAGGUCACCAUUUAGUUAAGAACGAAUUAUUAUUAUUAUUAUUAUUAUUAUUAUUAUUAUUAUUAUUAUUAUUAUUAUUAUUAUUAUUAUUAUUAUUAUUAGUGCACGUGCAGCUCACUGGUUAAACUCUUCAGUAUAAAUGGCCUGAGCGCAGAGAUGUGGUAAAUAAAAAGUGUGUGACCUCUAUCGUGAGUCAGCCAGCAGUCUAAACAACAAAGUCCGUGUUUUCCACACAACAAGCGUUAAAUAUUAUUAUUUCCCCCCUCAGAGCGUCUCCCAGCUCCAGGAUUGGGGCUCCGUGGCGAUUGAUUGGAUUAUAUGGCACCUUUUUCUUUUUUUCUCUUUUUUUUCUUCUCCCCACAACAGGAUGGGCUCCACACACACACAGAUCUCGACACAAGCAACUCUCACAGAACAGUUUGGAUCCGCUUUUGUAAAUAUUGUAUAACUUUAAAAAGUCAUCCCUCUUUUUUCUCGCUUUUUCUUCACUGGGGCACUUUUUCCCAUUUUCUUUCAUUUUUUUGUCCCCCUCCCCCCAAAAAACAAAAAAACAAAACAAAAAACAAAACAAAAAUCACACACGAGCAGGUUGAGCUUCAGAGUCCAUAGCCUAAACCCACCGCCUUGCACUUGUGUACCUUUUUUAAAUGGUUCGGACUUUUUUUCUUUUUGUUUCUUUCUCUCUUUUUUUGGUAACGCGUUAAUUUUGACGUCUAAAAAUGUCUGCUAUUUUUGUUUGUUUUUUAAAUUCCUCUGAACUUUUAUUUUGCAUUAUUAUUAUUUUUAUUUAUUUAUUUUUUUGGCUUAAUUCGCCUAGUAAGAGUUUGCUUUCGCCAUUUUGCGCCCGCUCUGAAAUAAAAACAGUGCUUUAAGAGUGAAUCCACAUAAAUAUAGCAGAGAAAUGUCCACAAAUAAACGAUCUAAGGGGAGGAUUACAAAACAAAAUUAAUGUGCGAAUAAUUUGUCCUCAAAACAUAUUUUAGUGGCGUUCCAAAUAUUGCAGCAUAUGAUCAAAAUUAUUAUUAUUUUACAAUAACCAUGCAGCCUUUUUGUUCGUCUGUUUUGCCUUUUUUAUGUAACGGGGGAAAAUUGCGCGUAGACAUUUUAUUUAAUGUUAUUUUUUUUAGUUUUGUUAAUGAGAUUGUAAUUUAUUCUGGGUGGCUUUUACAGAAGAGACAAAGGGUGAGAUAUAUAAGAAAUGAAGAGCCGAGAAGGCUUUUGUUUUGUAGGGGACGGGGUGACAGAAAGAGAGACCUAUUUUUCUUUCUUUUUUUGUAAUAGCGGGAUUGCCACAGCCUGGACCGUCACAGCUAAAUGUAUAUACAUGUUUUUCUCCGUGCAGUAGCUCGCCUUUUUGUUUUAUGCAAAGAGAGAAAUCCAGGGACUUUUUUCCCCUCUCAUGUGGAAACUGCUUUUCUUUUCUCCUCCUCUUCCUUCUCUGUGUUUCAUUUGCAGAAAAAAU
ensembl:lncRNA